GACGAACGCUGGCGGCGCGCUUAACACAUGCAAGUCGAACGGAAAGGCCUGCUUUCCCUUGUGGAUUGCGGGUACUCGAGUGGCGAACGGGUGAGUAACACGUGAGUGAUCUUCCCCCAACUUGGGUAUAAGCCUGGGAAACUGGGUCUAAUUCCCGAUAGGACUGCAGGGUGGUGCCUGUGGUGGAAAACGAUUUUCUAGUGGUUGGGGAUGAGCUCGCGGCCUAUCAGCUUGUUGGUGGGGUAAUGGCCUACCAAGGCGGCGACGGGUAGCCGGCCUGAGAGGGUGGACGGCCACAUUGGGACUGGGAUAAGGCCCAGACGCCUACGGGAGGCAGCAGUGGGGAAUAUUGCACAAUGGGCGGAAGCCUGAUGCAGCGACGCCGCGUGGGGGAUGACGGCCUUCGGGUUGUAAACUCCUUUCGACCGCGAGGAAGCCACCUGGUUGGAAGGGUGGUGACGGUAGUGGUAGAAGAAGCACCGGCUAACUACGUG
rnacentral:rRNA from 1 species